rnacentral:rRNA from 1 species
ACGGAGGGCGCAAGCGUUGUUCGGAAUCAUUGGGCGUAAAGAGCGUGUAGGUGGCUUGGAAAGUUGGGUGUGAAAGCCCGGGGCCCAACCCCGGAAUUGCACUCAAAACUUCCUCGCUAGAGUCUCGGAGAGGAAAGCGGAAUUCCCGGUGUAGAGGUGAAAUUCGUAGAUAUCGGGAGGAACACCAGUGGCGAAGGCGGCUUUCUGGACGAUGACUGACACUGAGACGCGAAAGCGUGGGGAGCAAACAGG